AGAGUUUGAUCAUGGCUCAGAACGAACGCUGGCGGCAGGCCUAACACAUGCAAGUCGAACGCUCCGCAAGGAGAGUGGCAGACGGGUGAGUAACACGUGGGAAUCUUCCUGUUGGUGGGGAAUAGCUCAGGGAAACUUGAGGUAAUACCGCAUAAGCCCGAAAGGGGAAAGAUUUAUCGCCGACAGAUGAGCCCGCGUCUGCUUAGCUAGUUGGUGAGGUAAUGGCUCACCAAGGCGACGAUCAGUAGCUGGUCUGAGAGGAUGACCAGCCACACUGGGACUGAGACACGGCCCAGACUCCUACGGGAGGCAGCAGUGGGGAAUAUUGGACAAUGGGCGCAAGCCUGAUCCAGCCAUGCCGCGUGAGUGACGAAGGUCUUCGGAUUGUAAAGCUCUUUUGCCAGGGACGAUAAUGACGGUACCUGAGAAUAG
rnacentral:rRNA from 1 species